AACGAACGCUGGCGGCAGGCCUAACACAUGCAAGUCGAGCGAGGACUUCGGUUCUAGCGGCGGACGGGUGAGUAACGCGUGGGAAUGUGCCCUUCUCUACGGAAUAGCCCUGGGAAACUGGGAGUAAUACCGUAUACGCCCUAUUGGGGAAAGAUUUAUCGGAGAAGGAUCAGCCCGCGUUGGAUUAGGUAGUUGGUGGGGUAAUGGCCUACCAAGCCGACGAUCCAUAGCUGGUUUGAGAGGAUGAUCAGCCACACUGGGACUGAGACACGGCCCAGACUCCUACGGGAGGCAGCAGUGGGGAAUCUUAGACCAUGGGGGCAACCCUGAUCUCGCCAUGCCGCGUGAGUGAUGAAGGCCUUAGGGUUGUAAAGCUCUUUCAGCUGGGAAGAUAAUGACGGUACCAGCAGAAGAAGCCCCGGCUAACUCCGUG
rnacentral:rRNA from 1 species